UGAGUCAUUUCAUUGGCGCUCCCACGCGUGGGUUGGCGCAGGAAGGCCGUGCGUGAUCAGAGAGUGUUGGCCAAUCGGGAGGCUCCGGCGUGCACGUGCACAGGCCGUUUACUGGCUGAGGCCAGGCACAGUCCUGGAGCCCAGGCCAAUAGCGAGGCGGUGCGCCCAUGUGGACAGACAGUGGGAAACAGUAUCUGUCAGGGAGGGGGCGGAACAGGGUUAUCUCCGGCUCUUAGCGUGUCAGCCGUUCCCAUAGUUACGAACGGGGGCGGGGUUUCUAGCAGCGUAAGGACUUUGCAGGAGCCACUGGGUUCUCGUUAGAGCAUGAAGUUGUGGCUGUAACUGGCUUGUGUUUAUGAUUACAUCUGCAAUACUCGAGAGGAAAUAGAUGCUCUGGGAAACGGAACUCGGCAAUAUUUCCUUUUGAGAUCUUGGGGGCCGGCCGCAUCGGGACUUUAAUGAAUGACUUGGAAUCUUCUAACCUCCAGGUUUUUGAUCCCCGCCUCUACCAGGUUUCAGAAUUCCCAGCCCAUUUAAGAACAAUUUUGGCCAGCCAGGCGUGGUGGCUCACACCUGUAAUACCAGCAUUUCGGGAGGCCGAGGCAGGCAGAUCACAAGGUCAAGAGAUCGAGACCAUCCUGGCCAACAUGGUGAAACCCCGUUUCUACUAAAAAUACAAAAAUUAGCUGGGUGUGGUGGCUCGCACCUGUAGUCGCAGCUACUCGGGAGGCUGAGGCAGGAGAAUCUCUUGAACCUGGGAGGCGGAGGUUUGCAGUGAGCCGAAAUUGCGCCACUGCACUCCAGCCUGGGUGAGAGAGCGAGACUCCAUCUCAAAACAACAACAGCAACAACAACAACAACAAAAAAACAAUAGUUUUGGCUACAGGUAACAACAGAAUGUGUGACCAACACACAGUCUACCUUUAAAAAUAUUCCUUGUUUACUAGACGAAAAGGUCAGUAGUAGAGUAUGGCCCCUUCAGAUUGAUGCAUCAGAAUCCUUUUAUCUUUCUCCUUGACAUACUCUGCUCCCUUCAUCGUAGUAGGGAUUAACACAGCUCUAAGUGUCUCCUUCUCUUCCUUACACCACAGAGUUCAACACAUAAAGCAAGG
rnacentral:lncRNA from 1 species